rnacentral:rRNA from 1 species
CCUACGGGAGGCAGCAGUGAGGAAUAUUGGUCAAUGGACGAGAGUCUGAACCAGCCAAGCCGCGUGAGGGAAGAAGGCUCUAUGUGUUGUAAACUUCUUUUAUAUGGGAAUAAAAGUUUCCACGUGUCGGUGUUUGCAUGUACCCUAUGAAUAAGCAUCGGCUAACUCCGUGCCAGCAGCCGCGGUAAUACGGAGGAUGCGAGCGUUAUCCGGAUUUAUUGGGUUUAAAGGGAGCGGAGGUGGUUUGUUAAGUCAGUUGUGAAAGUCUGUGGCUCAACCCUAAAAUGGCAGUUGAAACUGGCAGACUUGAGUGCGGUAGAGGUAGGCGGAAUGCGUGGUGUAGCGGUGAAAUGCUUAGAUAUCACGAAGAACUCCGAUUGCGAAGGCAGCUCACUGGGCUACCACUGACGCUGAGGCACGAAAGCGUGGGUAUCAAACAGGAUUAGAUACCCUUGUAGUC